AUGAACGCUGGCGGCGUGCCUAAUACCUGCAAGUCGCGCGAACAGACGAGGAGCUUGCUCCUCUGACGUUAGCGGCGGACGGGUGAGUAACACGUGGAUAACCUACCUAUAAGACUGGGAUAACUUUGGGAAACCGGAGCUAAUACCGGAUAAUAUAUUGAACCGCAUGGUUCAAUAGUGAAAGACGGUUUUGCUGUCACUUAUAGAUGGAUCCGCGCCGCAUUAGCUAGUUGGUAAGGUAACGGCUUACCAAGGCGACGAUGCGUAGCCGACCUGAGAGGGUGAUCGGCCACACUGGAACUGAGACACGGUCCAGACUCCUACGGGAGGCAGCAGUAGGGAAUCUUCCGCAAUGGGCGAAAGCCUGACGGAGCAACGCCGCGUGAGUGAUGAAGGUCUUCGGAUCGUAAAACUCUGUUAUUAGGGAAGAACAAAUGUGUAAGUAACUAUGCACGUCUUGACGGUACCUAAUCAGAAAGCCACGGCUAACUACGUG
rnacentral:rRNA from 1 species